ACCUUUCUUUAGGAGUCUUCACCAGAGUACACUCUUCAAAAACCAUGGCUAAUAGCAAAGAUGUUGUUGAUGGCAACGUUUCCAGUCCAGAGUUCAUCCAGGAGCUUCUUCCGGCUGCGGAGCGAACGGCUCUUCUCUAUCAUCUGUCUUACCUGUGUCUGGGAGGCUUCCCGAAGCUGGAGCGUCUGCUGAGAGAGCGAGCUCUGGAGACACAGCUGCUGUUUGGAUCCUCUGAGGCCGUUCUGCUGAAGUGUGUAGGAACCAGUGAAAACCUGGUUAAAUCCCUGCUGCCCUUUCUGAAGGUGGCUGUGGAGAAGAACAAGCCACAGUUAGCACUGGAUUUGCUAGAAAAAGCCAAAGGAUGGAUCAGUGAUAUCAUAAAUGAUGUUAAAGAAACUGUGAAAAGGUAUGAUAAACAUAACAACGAUGUAGCCAAAUCAACCAGCGACAUCAUCACUGAAAAAAAAGAGACGGAGAUGAAGCAGCAGCAACAAACCAGUGAGAUGGAGGCGCUUCAGAAGAUUAUGGAUGGCCUGGAUGCAAACCUUCAGAAAACCAAUAAAGAGUUAGAAGAUUAUGAGAAGAAGAUUGAGCAGAAAAAUGCAGAGAUACAAAAAUUUAUCAACAGCAUUACUGGCUCCAAAGAGGAAAAGACACCUGCAGGGGAAAACGGGGCGGGAUCAGGUCUUGCUUUAUUUUCAGCGAUCGUGCCAUUUGUGGAGAGUAUUAUAGGUUUCAUUUCCAAGAUGGUGUUGUCCUCUUCUCAAGAAUCAAUGAUCAAAACUCUUCAGACGGGUUUAUCUGAGCUCACCAGUGCACAGCAACGUCUGAAAGAAAGAGAGUGGGACAUUCAGAACAAACUGAUGGACAACCAGCUGCAGCUGGCCAAAUUAAAGAUUGAAAAUGGUCAGAUGCCCAGCGUUACUCACCUCGAUGAGGUCCAGAAGUGCCUGUCCCGGAUCCAGCAAAUUCUGGUUCAGCUCCAGAAGUUCUGGGAGAAAGUGGGUUCUCUGCUGGACACACUGAAGAAAGAGACCUUCGCUGGGGAGGACUGUAUCAAGUAUCUUGCCGAUAUGAAGGAAAACUUCCUGGAGUCUAUUGAUGCAGCUAAAGAGGGAUGGAAAAAUUUUGGCAUCAGCUGCAUGAAGGCUAACCAGAUCUUCAGCGUUCAGUCGAAUCAGGCCUACAAGUUCCUGGAGAUCAAUCCUUCAUCUCUGUCCACAGAAGAGUGGCAGAAAGAGUACGAGAGCGUGAAGGAGAAGCUCGAGAAGAUCAGACCAAACACUGUCAAUAAAGCCAUUACACAGUGAGAUCUAGAAAGAUUAUUUACUUGGAAAUAUUAGUGAAUCUUCUACAGCAAUGUUUCUGCUUUGUCAUGUGAACUCUGACCUGUCACGCUGAUUUGAUCUUUCUGUAACUUAGUGUCUGAUAACAAGGGUUGAUGAACUAGUAUAAAGUGACUAUUAUGCAUCUGUAUAUGAUCUCAAUGCUUGACCUGCUCCGCAUGAAAUAAAACUGCUUUCAAUGAAAUGAGUGAUUUUUCAUCUUAUGUGAGUGAAUGUGAUUUUAAACCUCUGUUAUCCCUCUGUGCAAAACUUUUUGCUUGAGGAUAAAGAUGGCUGAGUAAAGAAGUUCAUUCUGAGGCUAAAUCUUCACAAUGUGCAGUUUUUUACAGUAGUGUUACUGUGGGUUUCACUGUCAUCUUCUGGAAGUCUGCUGGAAGUGCAGGGCGGCCUUAUCUAUUGAGACUUUCAACUUAAACGUCACAUUUUAAAGAUGGAAAGCAUAUUAGUUUCUUUCACCAUAUUAUCACAAGUGAAUUUUAAAUCAUUUUUCACUUUGAACAGAUGCUUGCUGCACUGACGUCCAACAUGUAAAACUGACAAUUAACUAGGAAAUAAUUCAGGUGUUUCUGAAAUUUUCUCUUUCUCUAAUCAAAACAUAAAAAAAUUACAGUUUUUGGGAAUAUCGUUUCAAAUAGAAAUUACUUUCUAUUAGUGUUUUAUAAAAUGGUUGAGGUAUGACCCUUAUUCUCAAAAGUACAUUUUCAGAGUUUUAUUUUAAAGUUCUUUAUGCCAUUGCAUGUAAAAGCCUAAAAGUCCGUGUCUGCUGCUUUAAUUUCAUUUUUCAUAUUUGAAAACCUAUUAAACGGAAAGCAACGACAUAAAAGUAUCAUAAAUGCACCACAGAAGCAUCAUAACUCUAUAUAACCAAGUCUUCAGAAGUCAUAAGAUAGUUUUGUGAGAAACAGACAUGUACGUGAUUCAGUGAUAAUCUUCGACUUUCAUUAUCACUGAUACACACUCAAAAAAUAUUCAGGCCUAAAUGUGAGAUUUCUGUAUUUGAACUGCGUAUAAAAUUUCCAUCCAUUUGUAUUACAGACUUUUUAUAUGAAGUAAUGUAAUGCUCUGCAUAUGUCAGAAAUUUUAUAUGCAAUUCAAAUACAUCUUAAAUUUAGCCCUAAAUAAAAAUUAGCCCUACAAUAAAUUAGUUUUAAUUUUUAUAUUUUGAAAAUUAACAUUUAUGCAAAUUUUAAUUUAGGUUUUAGUAGUUUAGUCAUUUUAU
ensembl:lncRNA